UACGUAGGGGGCAAGCGUUGUCCGGAAUUAUUGGGCGUAAAGCGCGCGCAGGCGGUUCAUUAAGUCUUCUGUUUAAUGCAUGGGCUCAACCCGUGUUCGCAGGGGAAACUGGUGGACUGGAGUGCAGGAGAGGAAAGUGGAAUUCCACGUGUAGCGGUGAAAUGCGUAGAGAUGUGGAGGAACACCAGUGGCGAAGGCGACUUUCUGGCCUGUAACUGACGCUGAGGCGCGAAAGCGUGGGGAGCAAACAGGAUUAGAUACCCUGGUAGUCCACGCCGUAAACGAUGAGUGCUAGGUGUUGGGGGUUUCGAUACCCUCGGUGCCGAAGUUAACACAGUAAGCACUCCGCCUGGGGAGUACGCUCGCAAGAGUGAA
rnacentral:rRNA from 1 species